GUCCCUAUAGCUUAUCAGCUAAAGCAUGGCACUGAAGAUGCCAAGAUGGUUACUACACGUACCUGGGGACA
rnacentral:tRNA from 1 species